rnacentral:lncRNA from 1 species
CCAUGUUGAAGUGAUAUUCCACUUCCAGACACAACUUGAUAUAUUCAAGCUUUUAUGUGAGGCACCCAGGUGAAGGUGUAUGAUUCUUGGGGAGAUAGAUUUCAAAAAUUGAUAAAAGAUAUUAAAUAAUUUCUCCUAAACAAUAAUAUUUAAACACUCAUUUUAUUUUCUAAAAUUAAUGUAUACCAUCUUUUAUCACAUUGUAAUAUGUAUUUUCUUUAUCUCAUUUUAUCAUCUUACUAGGUGUCUAAUGUCGUAUUUCUUUUUUUCAAUUACAGUGAUUUAAAUUACAGUGAGAUAUCACGUGGGCGCAUUUGAUAUGUUCCAUUACUCAUGUUUCCUCUG